rnacentral:lncRNA from 1 species
CGGCUUCUGAGACUUACGUUUAUGAUUCGAAGAGUGAAAACGGAUACCAGUCGACUACAUACACGCGUUUGUUUAUUCCUUUGUGUGUUGGAAAUUAUUGAUGGUCCUUCUGUCACUGUCCGUAAUUUAGCGAUUUGCCAAGCAAGCAGCAGAGGGAGUAGAACAGACCUCUUUUCUCGACUGCAGUGGCUUGGCAUUGGAUGCCCUAAUAAGAAGAUUGACUCGACUUUUUAAUGCGAUUCCGUGUAUCACACAACUUACAAGACAAUAUGUUUCUUAUAUCUAUGAUCAUAUUUAGGAUACAUGUUAAUGACCAUUGUAAGAUUGUGUUUAACAUACAAGACUUGGGCCACUUGCGUCAAGGUCAAGUUCAGAUAUAGAAUUCAGCUGCAUACAGUCUACCACAUAGCUACUAAACCCUAUGAAAGGAGCUGUCGGUAUUUCCAUGGUGCAGCUAUCACCAGUUUCAAAAUGGAAACACCUGAUGGUGAGUCUCAAGCGAAAAAGAAAAGUGGACCUCUCCUAACAACUUCAAAGGAGAACAUUAUCUUGCAUAGCAUUUUUCUCCGAAGGGAUUGAUUCAAACAAGCACAUUGUGACAAGUAUCCCACUGAAGGCAAGUUCUACAACAAGGAAACGGACUCCACCAAUAUAUCGACGUUCAAAAAGGGCUUAAAUUUGUUUACCGAUCAAAACUAUGCCAUAAGUCAUAAAUCA